UACGAAGGGGGCUAGCGUUGCUCGGAAUCACUGGGCGUAAAGCGCACGUAGGCGGCUUUUUAAGUCGAGGGGUGAAAUCCUGGAGCUCAACUCCAGAACUGCCUUUGAUACUGAGAAGCUUGAGUCCGGGAGAGGUGAGUGGAACUGCGAGUGUAGAGGUGAAAUUCGUAGAUAUUCGCAAGAACACCAGUGGCGAAGGCGGCUCACUGGCCCGGUACUGACGCUGAGGCGCGAAAGCGUGGGGAGCAAACAGG
rnacentral:rRNA from 1 species